AUGGUAUUGUUCCCGGUUCCCGGUCCCGCGCGUUUCUAUGUCUUGUCCAGGAAUUUCUGUGAAUGUGCGUGGUGCGUCUUGUCUUGUGCUUUCGACUGGUUGACUAAUGUACUUUCGUAUCAUGCUUCGUAUCUAAAAGUCAAAAGAGUGUUCCAUAAGUUCUUGAUCUGCGUCGCAGUAGUGCCUCCCUCCAACUCCAACAAUGAGCGGACAGAAGCGUGGGAGGUCCUCGGAAAAUAUCACCAGGCAGGGGGAAUGGAAAAGGAAAAAAAGAGCGGCAGAACAAAAGACCAGGUUUUACGACGAAUGUAACGCAUACAGCUAGAAGCAUCAUGGCAAAAAUACUGCAUUCAUCAUUAACAGGACGUUUCACAUGGACGGGUGUAAAUCGACAGAACAAGAAAGAUGAGCGUGAAAAGAACGUUACAAAAAGAAAGCAUGCCUUCCGAAUUUUGCAUUUGAAGGAUAUUCUCCUCGGUGAGUUUUUCCAUAAUUACUUUCUAUGGUAUUUUUAAGUAUUCACAGGAGGAGAAAGAUAAAUCCGAAGAAACUAACGAAGUUUUAAGAAGAAAGUGGUAUUAUUAUUAUUUUUUUUUAUCUUGCAGGAUUUCUCCUGGUAUUGAGAACCAAAGAUGAGUCAAGGACUAGAGUCUUGGGUCCUUUUCAUGCCCUAAUCAUUAAAUUUUUAAAGAACAGAAAAUUUAAUAAAUAUAGAAAUAGAAAAUUGUUAAGAAUAGAAAACUAAAAAAAAAACUGAAAAGAGAGAUAAGAGAGAAGAAAAAGAGAGGACUAUUCCAUUAUUAUUAUGUUCUCGUCUCUCAAUUCACAGCUCGAAGCUGGGAGAUAUUUAGUCCUCUCCCAGCACUUCAAUGCAAAGGAGAGUCCUACUGGAUUUUUUUUUUUUUUUUUUUAAAAAAUGAUGAAAAUUGCUUCCGAUUAAUUAAAAAAAGAGAGGAAAAUUUAAAAUUAGGAUUAAAACUUUUAAUUGGAUUAUUAUUAUUAUUAUUAUUAUUUAUUAUUAUACAUGGCUGCAGAGUCAUUGUCACAAGUCUGUGAACGUCAAUUAAGUAUUGCUUGUCUAAAUCUUCAAUCUUCUACAGCAAAUUCUGUUCUAUUUGUGCUUUCAGAUGCUGCAACGCUCAUUCACCAGUGUCAUGUGUCGGAGGAUGACAUAAAGCGUUCAGUGAACCAGUGGUUUUCCCAGGAAGCACUGAAGUUCGAAAAGAAAACGUAAGUCACGCUAAAUCUUUACUGCCUCAAGCAAAAAUUUGCUGACAAAUGUUUUUCCGAGCCAGCAACAUUGAAUCUGUCUUAGGGUGCUGUUUGAUUUCAUAAUUUAUAUGAACUGCUUGUUCAGGACAGAGUUAGUUUUAAGAUUUCUUGUACCGCGCGUGAUACUAAUUUGGACACUCAAUGGGAAAAGUCUGGGAGAAGAACCUCAUCUGGAAAGGUGCUUGGAGGGAGUCUCAUUUUUUAUGGGGCCCAUUAUUUUUUGGGUACAGUUUGUCUAGUUUCUCUCAUGCAUGAGGCUACCUUUUCUGUUUUUUUCAGAAACUGAUUUUUUCUUCAAAUGUUCAAUUCCCCGAGUGGUUGAGGUCCCCCCCCCCCCUCCAUCUCACCUGUCUUUUUUUUGUGCCAGCAUGUGAUCACAGUCAUCUCUUUUGAUUCCCAGGUCCAAGCCCAAGAAUGUGCCAAUUGUGCCCCUCCAGGAAAGCACAUCAAAUAGUAGCUCUGCAGAAAGCUCAUCGAGCAGUUCAUCAAACAGCUCAAGCGAACCUGAUGAUCGCUGAUUUCAUAUUAUCGGUUUUUACUUUUCACAUCUGUUUUCUCUGCCAUGUUGGCUUUUCACUUCCUAUUUCCGGACUCUUCCCACUUCCGAUUUUCACCUUCAUGUCCUAGGUUUUAUUACCCAUUUCUGGUUUUGACCUUUAAAUUCCAAUUUUUACUUCCCACUUCUAGUUUUUAGUUCCUAUUUCUGAUUUAAGUCCUUAACGUGUACUGUAUAGUGGUCCAAAAACACGAUUAUUCGUAUUUCUACCGUAUUUUGUGGCUACUAAAAUUAUUUCGCAAAAAUCGUUUAGGGACUCAAAAAGUACCCUAUCCUUGAUAAUUUAAGUUUAAUGUUUGUAUUGUAAAGUGGAAGGAGGUUGGGAAGUUUUUUCACUCUCCUAAAAAAUCGUAUUUUUGGAAAUAAGUGGUUUUGAUCUGCCACCUGCGAUACGUUUAUAUAUAGGCUUAUCAAAAAACGAAUAGUCAGUGUUUUUGCUCAAAAUACAUGCGAUUCAUCAGGAUUGUUCUCUUGAAGUGUCGCACUUAAGUGUCAAAAUUAGCUUUAAUUCGUUAGUCAGUGUACCUAGUAACUUUUACAGUUUUCGUCAAAAAUUUCUUGUCUAAUCUCAAGUUUCACUUAUUGUUUAUAAUGUUCGUUCUUUUCACUAUUAUUAAAUUCUAAUUUUGUGUUAAAAUAACAUUUAGUAUCCUUUUUUUAUCCUGCAAAAUACUGUGGAUCCAGAACUAUUUUACCACACUUGCUAAUAUCAUUUAUUAAGAGUACAUAAAGCUUUCAUGACUCAAGAGGUAGGUCUUUUGCAAAAUUUUCUGAACAAAAUGUAUAAUACUUGAUAAGUUAUUGGGAAACAUCACAUGCUGUUAGGCCAAUUUCUGUUGCAGUUGACCUAUAUGUUUGUAUUUCUAGGGAGUGGUUAUAAAUUUAGUUGAAGUAAGAAGUUCACUUUUCAUGAUCUGACAGUAUAGAGUAAGUUGGUCGUUGGACAGGUAGAGUAAUUUUCAGAAAUCAUAAAAUUAGGUUCUUCAGAGGAUUAUUGAUUAAAUUUCCAUUAGGUACCUAUUGUGGAGCAUCGCACCGAAGGGCCUCCCAUUCUCAUAUCAAUUUAUGAAGAUGGGAGACCCUCAGGUGCACCUCUCCGCAAGGGGCCUCCUUUUUUUUACAUAAAAAACCAAGCUUACUUUUACCUUUUUUUACUUUAAAAAAAGGUUUUUUUACCAAGAAAAAGUAGUAAUUUUUAAAUUUUUUUUUACGUAAAAGUUCAUGAAUUUACAUUUUUUUAAAUGUAAAAUUUACACCACAGUUGACGCCCUCUUGCCAAUUUUACAUAAAAAAGACAUACAUUUAUAUAAAUUUAAGUUUUUUUUACGUAAAAAAGACUUAGAUUUAUAUAAAUUUAAGUCUUUUUUAUGUAAAAUUGGCAAGAAGGCGUCAACUGUGGUGUAAAUUUUACAUUAAAAAAAAAUGUAAAUUUAUGAACUAUUACGUAAAAAAAAAUUAAAAAUUAUUUUUUUUUUAUGUAAAAAAAAAAAAAAUUGCUACUAGGGUAGUUUAAUUAUUAUUUGAAAUACGUCCAUUUUAUCACCACUUUAGCUAUUAAUAACGUCAUCACCCUAAUUUUUAAGAUGGAAAUAUUUAGCAUAAAAAGCACCACAGUCUUGCAGAGUACUAUGUUCUACAAGAACAGACUCAUGCGUUCUACUCUUUUUUGUACGUCAUUGCAAUUUCUCUCGGGAAAAGUUAAGUAAAAGUAUUAAGCAUUAAGACAGCAGACGAAAGUUCUUUUAAAAAUAAUGGAUUUUAUUUGCUUAAAGAAUAGUUGCAAAAUUGCAAGUUGUAUUUCCUUAAGUUAGCAUAUCAUUCCGAUAAAUAAAAUCUAAAGAAGCACAAUCAUAGUCAUCAUAAGUUCUCCGCUUGCUGCUAUUACCGAACUCUCCAUCACUUUCCUGAAGUCUUUUUUAAAAACAAUACAUCGCUGUUUAAUUUUUUAGAGUGAGGAGUACGGGCUUUACCUCUUUUUGUAAGAUGCAGUAAUAUUAUGUUUACUAACCAGUAUUUUGUUUUGUGUUCAAAUUUUAAUGUUUUCCCCCCAUUAUCUCUGCAGGUAUAACUAUUUUUUGAGCAAUUCAACUGUGGAGGCAAUCUUCAAAUAACUUAAGCGCCAACUUUUGUGUUCUUUAUUCACCAAACCAAUUAUUUUUCUCUGAAUACAAAACUUUUAUUUUGUUCUCAAUUUAAUGCUUUUUCAUUUCAAGUCAUGCUGUUUUCCUUAACUAUCUUCUGCUUGCCUCAACUGAAAUAAAAAAUUUGCUGUCAUUUUAUUUUUUAUCUGGAAACCACUGCUUCAAUUAUUGUUUUUAAAAACUCAUUAAAUUUGUUGUUCAGUGUAGAUAAAUCGUAUAAUUUCAAGGAAAGUAGUGUGUGAUAGGUUUGCAUACAACCAUUGAACACAUAACAUGUCUAUUUCAUUUCAAAAUGUAUGUGAUUUUUCGACGCGAGAAGAAUUUUUGGAAUUUUUCUGAACCUAUUGAUGGUUUCUGUUAAAACAUGAAAUUGUCACCAUCUGGCCAAUGUAUCACAAGCGCCGUGCGACGUUUUAACAUUUUUGCCACCAUUUUAUUUUUUUACAGAGAAAUUGUUGGUUAAAUCUGUUCGAAAAUUUUGCUGAAAUUUAUCGCCAGCACGAAGAAAAUUCUGUGAAAUUUUCGGAUAGCUUCGUUGAACAAUUUCACUGUAAAAAAAUCAAAUUGCGGCGGAAAUUUUGAAACGUCACAUGGCGCUUAUGAUACUUUGACCGGAAGAUGACGAAAUGUCCGCAGAAAAAUUUU
rnacentral:lncRNA from 1 species